rnacentral:rRNA from 1 species
AUGAUUUGUCUGGUUAAUUCCGAUAACGAACGAGAUCUUAACCUGCUAAUUAGCGGUAAAUACAACAUAUUCUUAAGUAAAUAAGAAUAUAGAUAAAAAUAACAAAUAAGAGAAUAUAUUAAGAUGUUAUUAUAUAUAAUGUCUUCUUCCCUGUUCUUCUUGUAUUGUUUUUUUAUUCUAUUUCUUUUUUUACGUAAGAAUGUAUUUACUUGAUUGUAAAGCUUCUUAGAGGGACAUUGUGUGUCUAACACAAGGAAGUUUAAGGCAACAACAGGCCUGUGAUGUCCUUAGAUGAACUAGGCUGCACGCGUGCUACACUGAUAUAUAUAACGAGUUAUUAAAAGUAUAUCUUUGUAUAUAUAUAUUCUGUAUAUAUAUACAAAAGAUAUAAUUUUCCUCCACUGAAAAGUGUAGGUAAUCUUUAUCAAUAUAUAUCGUGAUGGGGAUAGAUUAUUGCAAUUAUUAAUCUUGAACGAGGAAUGCCUAGUAAGCAUGAUUCAUCAGAUUGUGCUGACUACGUCCCUGCCCUUUGUACACACCGCC